rnacentral:rRNA from 1 species
CCUACGGGAGGCAGCAGUGGGGAAUAUUGCGCAAUGGGCGAAAGCCUGACGCAGCGACGCCGCGUGAGGGAUGAAGGUCUUCUGAUCGGAAACCUCUGUCAGCAGGGAAGAACGGUCACUGUGCUAAUCAGCAGUGAAUUUACGGUACCUGCAAAGGAAGCACCGGCUAAAUCCGUGCCAGCAGCCGCGGUAAUACGGAGGGUGCGAGCGUUAAUCGGAAUUACUGGGCGUAAAGCGGUCGUAGGCGGUAUGUCAAGUUCAGGGUGAAAUCACCGCGCGCAACGUGGGAACUGCCUUUGAAAAUGGCAACAUGGAGUGUGUGAGAGGAUAGUGGAAUUCCAGGUGUAGGAGUGAAAACGGUAGAAA